rnacentral:rRNA from 1 species
CAAUAGCGUAUAUUAAAGCUGUUGCGGUUAAAAAGCUCGUAGUUGGAUUUCUGUCAAGGACAACUGGUCCGCCCCUCGGGUGAGCACAUAGUUUGGUCUUGGCAUCUUGUUGGAAACUGUUGCUGCACUUGGUUGUGUGGCGCAGUGUCCAGCACUUUCACUUUGAGGAAAUUGGAGUGUUUCAAGCAGGCACAUGCCUUUGGACACAGUAGCAUGGAAUAAUUAGAUUGGGCUUUUGCUCCAACUUGUCGGUUUCUGGAGCUGAGGUGAGAAUUAAUGGGGAUUGUUGGGGGCAUCCGAAUUUAGCCGUCAGAGGUGGAAUUCUUGGAUCUGCUAAAGACGGACAACUGCGAAAGCGUUUGCCCAGGAUGUUUUCAUUGA